UGGGGAAUUUUGGACAAUGGGCGAAAGCCUGAUCCAGCAAUGCCCGCGUGUGUGAAGAAGGCCUUCGGGUUGUAAAGCACUUUUGUCCGGAAAGAAAUCCUUGGCUCUAAUACAGUCGGGGGAUGACGGUACCGGAAGAAUAAGCACCGGCUAACUACGUGCCAGCAGCCGCGGUAAUACGUAGGGUGCAAGCGUUAAUCGGAAUUACUGGGCGUAAAGCGUGCGCAGGCGGUUUGCUAAGACCGAUGUGAAAUCCCCGGGCUCAAACCUGGGGAACUGCAUUGGUGACUGGCAGGCUAGAGUAUGGCAGAGGGGGGUAGAAUUCCACGUGUAGCAAGUGAAAUGCGUAGAGAUGUGAGGAAUACCGAUGGCGAAGGCAGCCCCCUGGGCCAAAUACUGACGCUCAUGCACGAAAGCGUGGGGAGCAAACAGGAUUAGAUACCCUGGUAGUCCACGCCCUAAAACG
rnacentral:rRNA from 1 species